CAGGUGCCAAGUCCUGCUGGAAAAUGAAAUCAGCAUCUCCAUAAAGCAUGUCAGCAAGAGCAAGCAUGAAGUGCUUGCAAAUGCGGCUGUGUUGACUGUGGACUUCAGAAAACACAUCGGAUCAACACCAGUAUGGCAGCCCAGAGCAUCACUGACUGUGGAAACUUCACAAGUGUCAGUCACUGUCUUCUGGAGUCCACUCUGCAGCCUUUCCCAUGAUUGUGUAUCCCACCGAGAGACCAGGCUCAGGAAACCUUUGCAGGCAUUUUCACUUAAUAAUCUGAUUAAGCAUCGGGCUCAGUUUCCUCCAGAGCGCCAGGCUCGCUGAAGGGGCUCUCGCUGUAUAAACCAGAGGGAUAACUGAAAUUCAACAUGGAGACAAAGGGAGGAGGCACAUACACGAAUAUUGAGCUGUACUGAUCUCCAGUCAUACACUUCUCAUAGACUGGACCCAGCAGCUCCUUGGUGUCGGGGAAAAUGUUGUCAUGGUGCAGAAUGACCGUUUUGAUGACCUCAUUCACAUGCGCCUGACACGCCACCUGGUCCAGUG